UACGUCCUACGGGGGGCAGCAGUGGGGAAUAUUGGGCAAUGGGCGCAAGCCUGACCCAGCAACGCCGCGUGAAGGAAGAAGGCUUUCGGGUUGUAAACUUCUUUUGACAGGGAAGAGUAGAAGACGGUACCUGUCGAAUAAGCCACGGCUAACUACGUGCCAGCAGCCGCGGUAAUACGUAGGUGGCAAGCGUUGUCCGGAUUUACUGGGUGUAAAGGGCGUGUAGCCGGGUUGACAAGUCAGAUGUGAAAUCCUGCGGCCUAACCGCAGCACUGCAUUUGAACCUGUGGAUCUUGAGUACUGGG
rnacentral:rRNA from 1 species